CUGAAUGUGAAUUAGCUGCAAGUGUAGGCAAGGACAAGCCAAGCUCAGCAGAGUUUCUGCAGCCACGGUGAGACCUGGCUGGAAGCAGGGAUAAACCUGGGCAGCAGAGCAGGUUACCGCUCAGCAAAGAA
rnacentral:lncRNA from 1 species